GAACUUUCCAGAGAUGGAUUGGUGCCUUCGGGAACUGUGAGACAGGUGCUGCAUGGCUGUCGUCAGCUCGUGUUGUGAAAUGUUGGGUUAAGUCCCGCAACGAGCGCAACCCUUAUCCUUUGUUGCCAGCGGUCCGGCCGGGAACUCAAAGGAGACUGCCAGUGAUAAACUGGAGGAAGGUGGGGAUGACGUCAAGUCAUCAUGGCCCUUACGACCAGGGCUACACACGUGCUACAAUGGCAUAUACAAAGAGAAGCGACCUCGCGAGAGCAAGCGGACCUCAUAAAGUAUGUCGUAGUCCGGAUUGGAGUCUGCAACUCGACUCCAUGAAGUCGGAAUCGCUAGUAAUCGUGGAUCAGAAUGCCACGGUGAAUACGUUCCCGGGCCUUGUACACACCGCCCGUCACACCAUGGGAGUGGGUUGCAAAAGAAGUAGGUAGCUUAACCUUCGGGAGGGCGCUUACCACUUUGUGAUUCAUGACUGGGGUGAAGUCGUAACAAGGUAACCGUAGGGGAACCUGCGGUUGGAUCACCUCCUUACCUGAAAGAAGC
rnacentral:rRNA from 1 species